rnacentral:rRNA from 1 species
GAUGAACGCUGGCGGCGUGCCUAAUACAUGCAAGUCGAGCGAACAGACGAGGAGCUUGCUGGUCUGACGUUAGCGGCGGACGGGAGUGAAACACGUGGAUACCCUCCCUAUCUGACUGAGAUAACUUCGGAAAACGGGCGCUAAUCCCGGAUAAUCUCUUGAUCCGCAGUGUUCAAUGGUGAAAGACGGUGUUGCUGUCACUAAUAGAUGGAUCCGGGCUGCAUUAGCUAGUUGUUACGGUAACGGCUUACCAAGGCAACGAUGCGUAACCGACGUGAGAGGCGGAUCGCCCACCCUGGAGCGUAGACGCGGUCCAGAGUCCUACGGGAGGCAGCAGUAGGGAAUCUUCCGCAGUAGUCGAAAGCCUUACGGAGCGACGCCGCGUGAGUUAUGAAGGUCUUCGGAUCGUAAAACUCUGUUAUUAGUGAAGAACAGAUGUCGAAGUAACUGUGCACUUCUUGACGGUACCUAAUCAGGAAGCCACGGCUAACUACGUG